GACGAACGCUGGCGGCGUGCCUAAUACAUGCCAGUCGAACGCUGAAGGAGGAGCUUGCUUCUCUGGAUGAGUUGCGAACGGGUGAGUAACGCGUAGGUAACCUGCCUGGUAGCGGGGGAUAACUAUUGGAAACGAUAGCUAAUACCGCAUAAUAGUAGAUGUUGCAUGACAUUUGCUUAAAAGGUGCAAUUGCAUCACUACCAGAUGGACCUGCGUUGUAUUAGCUAGUUGGUGGGGUAACGGCUCACCAAGGCGACGAUACAUAGCCGACCUGAGAGGGUGAUCGGCCACACUGGGACUGAGACACGGCCCAGACUCCUACGGGAGGCAGCAGUAGGGAAUCUUCGGCAAUGGACGGAAGUCUGACCGAGCAACGCCGCGUGAGUGAAGAAGGUUUUCGGAUCGUAAAGCUCUGUUGUAAGAGAAGAACGAGGGUGAGAGUGGAAAGUUCACACUGUGACGGUAUCUUACCAGAAAGGGACGGCUAACUACGUG
rnacentral:rRNA from 1 species